CGGGGCGUGGCGCAGUCCGGCUAGCGCGUUGCAAUGGGGUUGCAAAGGCCGUCGGUUCGAAUCCGACCGCCCCGACCA
rnacentral:tRNA from 2 species